GAUGAACGCUAGCUACAGGCUUAACACAUGCAAGUCGAGGGGAAACGAUAGAGAAAGCUUGCUUUUUCUAGGCGUCGACCGGCGCACGGGUGAGUAACGCGUAUCCAACCUGCCCAUCACUUGGGGAUAACCUUGCGAAAGUAAGACUGAUACCCAAUGGUAUCUCUAGAAGACAUCUGAAGGAGAUUAAAGAUUUAUCGGUGAUGGAUGGGGAUGCUUCUGAUUAGCUUGUUGGCGGGGUAACGGCCCACCAAGGCGACGAUCAGUAGGGGUGCUGAGAGGAAGGUCCACCACAUUGGAACUGCGACACGGUCCAAACUCCUACGGGAGGCAGCAGUGAGGAAUAUUGGUCAAUGGGCGAGAGCCUGAACCAGCCAAGUAGCGUGCAGGAUGACGGCCCUAUGGGUUGUAAACUGCUUUUAUAAGGGAAUAAAGUGAGUCUCGUGAGGCUUUUUGCAUGUACCUUAUGAAUAAGGACCGGCUAAUUCCGUGCCAGCCGCCGCCGUAA
rnacentral:rRNA from 1 species